AACGAACGCUGGCGGCAGGCUUAACACAUGCAAGACGAACGCCCCGCAAGGGGAGUGGCAGACGGGUGAGUAACGCGUGGGAACAUACCCUUUUCUACGGAAUAGCUCUGGGAAACUGGAAUUAAUACCGUAUACGCCCUACGGGGGAAAGAUUUAUCGGGGAAGGAUUGGCCCGCGUUGGAUUAGCUAGUUGGUGGGGUAAAGGCCUACCAAGGCGACGAUCCAUAGCUGGUCUGAGAGGAUGAUCAGCCACAUUGGGACUGAGACACGGCCCAAACUCCUACGGGAAGCAGCAGUGGGGAAUAUUGGACAAUGGGCGCAAGCCUGAUCCAGCCAUGCCGCGUGAGUGAUGAAGGCCUUAGGGUUGUAAAGCUCUUUCACCGAUGAAGAUAAUGACGGUAGUCGGAGAAGAAGCCCCGGCUAACUUCGUG
rnacentral:rRNA from 1 species